rnacentral:misc_RNA from 1 species
GGAGUGUGUAACAACUCACCUG